UAAUACGGAGGGUGCGAGCGUUAAUCGGAAUUACUGGGCGUAAAGGGUGCGUAGGUGGUUUAAUAAGUUAGCUGUGAAAUUCCUGGGCUUAACCUGGGGCGGUCAGCUAAGACUGUUAGACUCGAGUAUAGGAGAGGGUAGUGGAAUUUCCGGUGUAGCGGUGAAAUGCGUAGAGAUCGGAAGGAACACCAGUGGCGAAGGCGGCUACCUGGCCUGAUACUGACACUGAGGCACGAAAGCGUGGGGAGCAAACAGG
rnacentral:rRNA from 1 species